rnacentral:hammerhead_ribozyme from 1 species
GCACUGCUGAGGAGUCCCACAACAGGACGAAACGGCCGUUCAAUGU